GACGAACGCUGGCGGCGUGCUUAACACAUGCAAGUGGAGCGACGAACCAGGCUUCGGCCUGGGGCAGAGCCGCGAACGGGUGAGUAACACGUGGGUAACCUGCCUCGAUGACCGGGACAACCCGGGGAAACCCGGGCUAAUACCGGAUGUGCUGCCUUCACAUCAGUGGAGACAGGAAAGGAAGCUUCGGCCUCCGCAUCGAGAUGGGCCCGCGGCCCAUUAGCUUGUUGGNGAGGUAAUGGCUCACCAAGGCCGCGAUGGUAGCUGGUCUGAGAGGACGAUCAGCCACACUGGGACUGAGACACGGCCCAGACUCCUACGGAGGCAGCAGUGGGGAAUCUUGCGCAAUGCGCG
rnacentral:rRNA from 1 species